rnacentral:rRNA from 1 species
UACAGAGGGUGCGAGCGUUGUUCGGAAUUAUUGGGCGUAAAGCGCGUGUAGGCGGCUUUGCAAGUCGGGUGUGAAAGCCCUCGGCUCAACCUGGGAAUGGCAGUGGAUACUGGAAAGCUAGAGUGCGGUAGAGGGUAGUGGAAUUCCCGGUGUAGCAGUGAAAUGCGUAGAGAUCGGGAGGAACACCAGUGGCGAAGGCGGCUACCUGGACCAGCACUGACACUGAGGCACGAAAGCGUGGGGAGCAAACAGG